ACUUUCUUAAUAUAAUUAAUAUAUAUGACUUCCAAUCAUAUUAUCUUGGUUGAACCCCAAGAGUAAGUA
rnacentral:tRNA from 1 species